rnacentral:rRNA from 1 species
GACGAACGCUGGCGGCGUGCUUAACACAUGCAAGUCGAACGGAAAGGCCCUGCUUUUGUGGGGUGCUCGAUUGGCGAACGGGUGAGUAACACGUGAGUAACCUGCCCUUGACUUUGGGAUAACUUCAGGAAACUGGGGCUAAUACCGGUUAGGAGCUCCUGCUGCACGGUGGGGGUUGGAAAGUUUCGGCGGUUGGGGCUGGACUCGCGGCUUAUCAGCUUGUUGGUGUGGUUGUGGCUUACCAAGGCUUUGACGGGUAGCCGGCCUGGGAGGGUGACCGGCCACAUGGGGACUGAGAUACGGCCCAGAAGCGUACGGGAGGCAGCAGGGGGGAAUAUUGCACAAUGGGCGGAAGCCUGAUGCGGCAACGCCGCGUGCGUGAUGACGGCCUUCGGGUGGUAAACAGCUUUCGCCGGUGACGAAGCGUGAGUGACGGUAAUGGGUAAAGAAGCACCGGCUAACUACGUG